CGCGGGAUAGAGCAAUAGGCAGCUCGCCGGACUCAUAACCCGGAGGUCACAGGUUAGAGUACAAUUCCCGCAACUA
rnacentral:tRNA from 1 species